ensembl:lncRNA
AUGUUACCCUGGGUGAUAAAGUGGGCAUGUUGUCUAAUGGGGCUCUUCAAUAGCAGCGCUGCCUCCGUUGGUGAUGAAUGGACAGACUCUGCGGGCGAGUCAGGGUCAGGAAUGCUAACAGAGGUGAACCUUCUAGAGGAGCUCUCGCUGCAGGUGUCCAACAGCAGCAAUGCCUCCAUGUCUCUGGAUGUUCAGAGGUGUCCGGUGCUGCAGGUGGGACAGUACUCCACCCUGGCCCUGCCCCUAGCAGAGCUCUUCACUGACGGGUUUGCAGAUGAAUUCAGUCUGUUGGUGCAGUUGCGAAGCCCACAGCGAGACGAACGCAGUGUGCUCACCCUGCUCAGCCAUGACAGCCACAUCCUGCUGCAAAUACGCAUCAGCGCAUACACACUCACCUUCAUCAGCACGCAACAGCGCCACUACGAGUUCCCGGUCAGUGGUCUGUCUGAUGGCCAGUGGCACCACGUAUCUGUGAGUGUGUCAUCUGUUAGGCUGGCGCUGUAUGUGGACUGUGCCUUGGUGGAGAGUGUGGACUGGGUGUACCAGGGUAUGGGCAUCACCCCUGAAGGCCUACUAUUGUUGGGAGGGAUCAUAGAGGGCUUCGAGACACCCUUUGAGGGCCAAUUCCGACAGCUGACGUUCCUGAUGGGCGACACAGAUGCCGGCCACCAUCACUGCACUCUUCACCCUGCCCAGUGUGGGGGGGUGAAGUCCCCCCGCUCCCCACGUACCAACCACGCCCUGGAGAAUCUCCUGCUGUCCUCAAAUGAUCUGGCGGACCUGCUAGAGAGAUCCAAGGAUUCCUCAUUCUUGGAUGUGCAAGUGGGGAAGACUGUGAGUAUAAAGGUCUAUCUGAUUCAAGGGGAAUCCCAAGUCUAGCUGAAUGUAAUUUACCUUUAUUUAACCAGGAAAAUACCCUUGGGGUAAGAAACCUCUCUUGUAAAGGGGGACGUGGCAUAUGCCCUGUGCUCUGUUUCUACCUGCCAUGAUUUAGACAGAAACAGCCCUUUGACUGAAUUCACAGAUUAAGUGCUUCUCUUGAGCUUGGUUUGGCACAGGAUGGACUCCUUCUUGCAUUACUGUGAUAUAUACUGCUGGUUUAAUCAAGGAAACUGACCAGCAGUAUAGGCCGCAAGGUGUAGAUUUAAGUGAUAAUGUGUUUGGAGGAUAUAUUGGCACGGGUGUUGUUAGGCCCGAGAUGGGUUACCAACAUAUUCAAAUAAUGAUUACAUAUUUCAUUAGACAUUUUAUUUUCAUGAAUUUGUUCAUACUAUUUCAUCCUUCCACAAGACAUAGUCCCGCAACAAAUCUAGUGUUGCUACCCAAGCCGGCUGGUCAUUCAUUCUAUUGGUCGGUUGCCAGAGACGCAACCCAGUCGUUCGUUCUAAAUGUUGCAUUGCCAUACUGGCUGGAAACGUUCUUAUCCCUUGUUUGCUAGCUAGCCAACUAUGGCUAACUUACAGUCACGUCAAACAAUGCAGACAGAAUAACAACAGUAGCUACAUAUGUUUAACCUGUUGGUGACCCCUUCCCCUUCUCAUCCUGUUAACGGGAUUGAUUUUGACAACAGCCAGUGGAAAAUCAGAGCGCCAAAUUUAAAACAGCUAAAAUCUCAUAAUUCCAUUUUCUCAAACAAUCAACUAUUUUACACCAUUUUAAAGAUAAACUUCUCGUUAAUCUAACCACAUUGUCCGAUUUCAAAAAGGCUUUACGGCGAAAGCAUAAAAUUCGAUUAUGUUAGGACAUAAACUUCACAAGAAACACCACACAACCAUUUUCCAAGCAAUUAGAUGCAUCACAAAAACCCAAAACACAGCUAAAUGAAGCACUAACCUUUGACGAUCUUCAUCAGAUGACACUCCUAGGACAUUAUGUUACACAAUACAUGUAUGUUUUGCUCGAUAAAGUUCCUAUUUAUAUCCAAAAACAGCAUUUUACAUUGGCGCAUAAUGUUGAGAAAUGUUUUCAUUUCGUAAACAUUGAUCAAUAUAGAAGUGUUAUGCACAGAAUUAUAGAUUUUUAUUUAUUUUUUUAUUUAUUUCACCUUUAUUUAACCAGGUAGGCAAGUUGAGAACAAGUUCUCAUUUACAAUUGCGACCUGGCCAAGAUAAAGCAAAGCAGUUCGACAACAUACAACAACACAGAGUUACACAUGGAGUAAACAACAUACAGUCAAUAAUACAGUAGAAAAAAAAAUAAGACUAUAUACAAUGUGAGCAAAUGAUGUGAGAUAAGGGAGGUAAAAGCAAAAAAAUGCCAUGGUGGCAAAGUAAAUAAAGUAUAGCAAGAAAAACACUGGAAUGGUAGAUUUGUAGUUUGAAGAAAGUUCAAAGUUCAAAUAUAAAUAAUAUGGUGCAAAGGAGCAAAAUAAAUAAAAUAAAUAAAUACAGUAGGGGAAGAGGUAGUAGUUUGGGCUAAAUUAUAGAUGGGCUAUGUACAGGUGCAGUGAUCUGUGAGCUGCUCUGACAGCUGGUGCUUAAAGCUAGUGAGGGAGAUAAGUGUUUCCAAUUUCAGAGAUUUUUGUAGUUCGUUCCAGUCGUUGGCAGCAGAGAACUGGAAGGAGAGACGACCAAAGGAGGAGUUGGCUUUAGGGGUGACCAGAGAGAUAUACCUGCUGGAGCGCGUGCUACAGGUGGGUGCUGCUAUGGUGACCAGUGAGCGGAGAUAAGGGGGGACUUUACCUAGCAGGGUCUUGUAGAUGACCUGGAGCCAAUGUGUUUGGCGACGAUUAUGAAGUGAAGGCCAGCCAACGAGAGCAUACAGAUCGCAGUGGUGGGUUGUAUAUGGGGCUUUGGUGACAAAACGGAUGGCACUGUGAUAGACUGCAUCCAGCUUGUUGAGUAGGGUAUUGGAGGCUAUUUUGUAAAUGACAUCGCCGAAGUCGAGGAUUGGUAGGAUGGUCAGUUUUACGAGGGUAUGUUUGGCAGCAUGAGUGAAGGAUGCUUUGUUGCGAAAUAGGAAGCCAAUUCUAGAUUUCACUUUGGAUUGGAGAUGAUUGAUGUGAGUCUGGAAGGAGAGUUUACAGUCUAACCAGACACCUAGGUAUUUGUAGUUGUCCACAAAUUCUAAGUUAGAACCGUCCAGAGAAGUUAUGCUGGAUGGGCGGGCAGGUGCAGGCAGCGAUCGGUUGAAGAGCAUGCAUUUAGUUUUACUUGUGUUUAGGAGCAGUUGGAGGCCACGGAAGGAGAGUUGAAUGGCAUUGAAGCUCGUCUGGAGGGUUGUUAACACAGUGUCCAAAGAAGGGCCAGAAGUAUACAGAAUGGUGUCGUCUGCGUAGAGGUGGAUCAGAGAUUCACCAGCAGCAAGAGCGACAUCAUUUAUGUAUACAGAGAAAAGAGUUGGCCCAAGAAUUGAACCCUGUGGUACCCCCAUAGAGACUGCCAGAGGUCCAGACAGUAGGCCCUCCGAUUUGACACACUGAACUCUGUCAGAGAAGUAGUUGGUGAACCAGGCGACGCAAUCGUUUGAGAAACCAACGCUACUAAGUCUGCCGAUGAGGAUGUGGUGAUUAACAGAGUCAAAAGCUUUGGCCAGGUCAAUGAAUAUGGCAGCACAGUAUUGUUUCUUAUCGAUGGCGGUUACGAUGUCGUUUAGGACCUUGAGCGUGGCUGAGGUGCACCCAUGACCAGCUCUGAAACCAGAUUGCAUAGCGGAGAGGGUGCGGUGGGAUUCGAAAUAGUCGGUAAUCUGUUUGUUGACUUGGCUUUCGAAGACCUUAGAAAGGCAGGGUAGGAUGGAUAUAGGUCUGUAGCAAUUUGGGUCAAGAGUGUCACCUCCUUUGAAGAGGGGGAUGACAGCAGCUGCUUUCCAAUCUAUGGGAAUCUCAGACGACACGAAAGAGAGGUUGAACAGGCUAGUAAUAGGGGUUGCAAUAAUUUCGGCAGAUAAUUUUAGAAAGAAAGGGUCCAGAUUGUCAAGCGCAGCUGAUUUGUAGGGGUCCAGAUUUUGCAGCUCUUUCAGAACAUCAGCUGAAUGGAUUUGGGAGAAGGAGAAAUGGGGGAGGUUUGGGCGAGUAGCUGUGGGGGGUGCAGUGCUGUUGAAUGCAGUAGGGGUAGUUAGGUGGAAAGCAUGGCCAGCCGUAGAAAAAUGCUUAUUGAAAUUCUCAAUUAUAGUGGGCUUAUCGGUGGUGACAGAGUUUCCUAUCCUCAGUGCAGUGGGCAGUUGGGAGGAGGUGUUCUUAUUCUCCAUGGACUUUACAAUGUCCCAGAACUUUUUAGAGUUGGAGUUGCACGAAGCAAAUUUUUGUUUGAAAAAGCUAGCCUUGGCGUUUCUAACUGCCUGUGUGUAUUGGUUUCUAACUUCCCUAAAAAGUUGCAUAUCGCGGGGGCAGUUCGAUGCUAAUGCAGAACGCCACAGGAUAUUUUUGUGUUGGUUAAGGGCAGUCAGGUCUGGGGAGAACCAAGGGCUAUAUCUGUUCCUGGUUCUAAAUUUCUUGAAAGGGGCAUGCUUAUUUAAGAUGGAGAGGAAGGCAUUUUUAAAAUAUAACCAGGCAUCCUCUACUGACGGGAUGAGGUCAAUAUCCUUCCAGGAUACCAGGGCCAGGUCGAUUAGAAAGGCUUGCUCGUUGAAAUGUUUCAGGGAGCGUUUGACAGUGAUGAGUGGAGGUCGUUUGACCGCUGACCCAUUACGGGUGCAGGCAAUGAGGCAGUGAUCGCUGAGAUCUUGGUUGAAAACAGCAGAGGUGUAAUUAGAGGGCACAUUGGUUAGGAUGAUAUCUAUGAGGGUGCCAGAGUUUGCGGCUUUGGGGUUGUACCUGGUGGGUUCAUUAAUAAUUUGUGUGAGAUUGAGGGCAUCAAGCUUGGAUUGUAGAAUGGCUGGGGUGUGAUAUGAUAUGAUAGAUACACUUCUCCUAAAUGGAAUCGCUUUGUCAGAUUUCAAAAUAGGUUCACGGCGAAAGCACAAUUUGCAAUAAUCUGAGUACAGCCCAGAUGACACUAACAACUAGCAAACAGAAUCCCAGCUCCACAAUAAAUGUUCGAUAAAGUUCAUAUUUAUUUCCAAAUAAUCCAUUUUGUUCGCGCGUUAGGUUCACUAUCCAAAUCCACUACGCGCGUGCUUACUUAGUCCAGACGAAAAGUCAAAAAAGUCAAACGAUUAGAAUGUAAGGUCAGUUUCCUAUGCUACUGUUUAAGUUGAAUACAAUACAGGCAGACAUGAGAGAGAAAGAGUGCCCCUGGGAUUAUAGACACAGCAUACAGGCACAGACACAGGUGUGUGAGGGAGGGUCAGUCAGUCUAUUGCUCAGCACACCGCAGGGCGGACUGCCCACAUAAGAAAAUACUACAGUUUACUAUAGAAUACUAUUGUACUUACUAUCAAAUGUUGUAGUAUACUGUAGAAUACUAUAGUCCACACUGUAGUAUCCCUUGAUAAUGUGUAGUACUUACUGUAGUGCCCCAGCACAUUGACUCUGUACCAGUACCACCUGUAUAUAGCCUCGCUACUGUUAUUUUCACUGUCAUUUACUGUUGUUACACUGUCAUUUACUGUUUUUUCUUCAUUUUUAUUUCCUUACUUAUCUAUUGUUUACCUACUACCUAUUUUUUACUUAAAAAUUGUGCUGUUGAUUCAGGCUUGUAAGUAAGCAUUUCACUGUAUUCGGCACACGUGACAAAUAAACUUUGAUUUGAUAUAGAAUUUUGUAGUAUACUGUGGUAUCCCUGAAGCAUGUGUAGU